AUGUCUAUUAGAAUUAGGAAGCAUGAUUCUGGUGCUUCAAAGCGUAAGAAGAAACAAAGACUAGAUCGUGAGGCUCGAUCUCAAACAGGUUCCCUCGAUGGAUAUGUCGAAAAUCAAACUAUGGAUGUUAAUGUAGAUGAUGGUCAUGAUGACAAUGACACAGAGGUUGAGGCUCCGGGUGAUGAUAAUGUUGCCGAUGGGGGUGAUCAUGUUGAUACUGCCAAUGAAGGUGAUAACGCUAAUACCACCGGUGAUGAUAAUAUUGCUGAUGACAUCAAAUAUCCUUUUCCAUUUGAUAUAUUUGAUCCAAGAAAUUGGGAUGCACUUGAUCCUAAAAUGAUAGAUGUUUUGGUGCAGAAGGGUCCUAAAAGAGACUCAUCUAUUCAGCAUGGUAAAAAGGACAAAUUGUCUAGAAGGUUGGAGAAGAAUCAAACAAUUGACAAAGUUGCUCAGCGAGAACUUGAGAAGGAAAAGGAACAUUGGAGAAAAGUUUUGCUUAGAAUCCUCUUGAUUGUUAUGUUUCUUGCAGAACACAAUAUAGCAUUCCAUGGUAGUAAUAGUAAGUUGUACCAAGACAACAAUGAUUCUUUUUGCAUUGAAGAAUCCUUCUUAGGUUUUUUGGAUGUGAAUGAUACCACCGGGCAAGGAUUGUUUGAUGUUUUACAUAAGGAAUUGAAGAGUCUUGACCUUGAUGUGGACAAUAGAUGGCAAAUUCUCAAAGAUAACAUACCAGGAUUGACUCUCAAGUCAUUAUCAUCUACUCGUUGGGAGAGUCGUGUUGAUAGUGUUCAGGCUAUGAGGUUUCAGCUAUCGGAAAUAAGGGAGGCCUUAUUGCAAGUGGCUGAAAGUGAUAAAGAUUCUUCGACACAAAGUGAAGCUCAAUCAUUGGCGGAGAAUGAACUUGGUGGCUUUGAUUUUUUAGUAUCAAUCAUCAUCUGGUAUGAAAUAUUAUCCGUUGUUAAUUUGAUUAGCAAAGAGUUACAGUCAAAGGAUAUGCUUAUUGAUAUUGCAAUUGAAUCUGUAAAAGGCUUGCUUUCCUUUUUCAAAAAGUAUAGAGAAAUCGGCUUUUCAAAAGCAUUGGAAGUUGCCAAAAAAAUUGCAAUGGAGAUGGAUAUUCAUCCAGAAUUCCGCACCAAGCGUAAAAUCAAAAGGAAAAAACAAUUUGAUGAGGGUGAAGAUGAUGCAUCUAUCGACUCACAAUCUGCAGAGGAGUCAUUUAUGGUCAAUUAUUUUAUACGUGUUGUUGAUCAAGCUAUAACUUCACUUACCAUUAGAUUUGAACAAUAUGAGGGGUAUGAAAAGAUAUUUGGUUUCUUGUUUACUUCAGAUAGGCUGCGAUCACUAGAUGACAAGAGUUUGAUGGCUGCUUGUGUUAAUCUUGAAGAUGCACUUAAGAGUGGAGAACAUACAGAUAUUGAUGGACUUGAAUUGUGUUGUGAGCUAAUUUUCAUCCAGGAUUUACUUCAUAAAUCAAUGGGUCCUCUUGACAUUCUGAAUUAUUUGAAGAAGCGCUCCACAAUCUAUCCUAAUGUUGUUAUUGCAUACAGAAUUUUGUUGACCAUUCCUGUAACGGUUGCAUCUGCUGAAAGGAGUUUUUCUAAACUCAAGUUGUUGAAGUUCUACUUGCGUUCUACUAUGACACAAGAAAGACUUAAUGGAUUGGCGACAAUAGCACUUGAAAAUGAUGUCUUGGAGAAGAUAAAGUACGAAGAUAUGAUUGAAGAUUUUAUUUCAAGAAAUACCAGACGGAUGCUUCUUUUUGGUAGAACAUGA
rnacentral:rRNA from 1 species